rnacentral:rRNA from 1 species
UGCAGAAUCCCGUGAACCAUCGAGUCUUUGAACGCAAGUUGCGCCCGAAGCCAUUAGGCUGAGGGCACGCCUGCCUGGGUGUUGCACAUCGUUGCCCCUGUGCCUUGGCCAUGUCCUAGGCACCGAGCGGGGCGAAUGUUGGCUUCCCGCGAGCAUCGUCUCACGGUUGGUUGAAAACUGAGUCCGCGGUGGAGGGCGCCGUGAUGGAUGGUGGCUGAGUUAAUUCUCGAGACCGAUCGUGUGUGUCACCCCCACUAGCUUUGUGACUCUGUGACCCAUGGGGAUCUGUUGAUCGCCCAAGACGGGAACCUCAGGUCAGGCGGGGCUACCCGCUGAGUUUAAGCAUAUCAAUAAGCGGAGGAAAAGAAACUAACAAGGAUUCCCCUAGUAACGGCGAGCGAACCGGGAAGAGCCCACCAUGAAAAUCGGUC